ensembl:snRNA U6 U6 spliceosomal RNA
GUGCUCACUUCAGGAGCACAUAAACUGAAAGUGCAAUGAUUCAGAGAUUAGCAUGGGCCCCUGCCCAAGGAUGACAUGCAAAUUUAUGAAGUGUUCCAUAUUUUU